rnacentral:rRNA from 1 species
AAUCUUGCGCAAUGGGGGAAACCCUGACGCAGCGACGCCGCGUGAGCGAUGAAGGNCUNNGGGUCNUNAAGCUCUGUCCUAUGNNNNNAAAAGGACGGUACCAUAGGAGGAAGCCCCGGCUAACUACGUGCCAGCAGCCGCGGUAAUACGUAGGGGGCAAGCGUUGUCCGGAAUUAUUGGGCGUAAAGGGUGCGUAGGCGGGUAUGUAAGUCCGGUGUGAAAUGCUUCGGCUCAACCGAGGAGUUGCAUUGGAAACUGCGUAUCUAGAGUUCAGGAGAGGGAAGCGGAAUUCCUAGUGUAGCGGUGAAAUGCGUAGAUAUUAGGAGGAACACCAGUGGCGAAGGCGGCUUCCUGGACUGUAACUGACGCUGAUGCACGAAAGCUGGGGUAGCGAACA